GCCUGUGUAGCAUAGCUGGUAGUGCAUCGGAUUUGUAAUCCGAAGGUCGGGGGUUCGAGUCCCUCCGCAGGCUCCA
rnacentral:tRNA from 4 species